rnacentral:tRNA from 1 species
GGUGGGUUAGCUCAGUGCUAAGAGCUUAGGCCUUGGAACCGGAAGGUCCAGGGUUCGAAUCUCACAACAGGCA